CCCUUAGAUGUUCUGGGCCGCACGCGUGCUACACUGAGUGGAUCAGCGGGUCAGGUUGCGCGAAAGCGUUUCCUAAUCUUUAAAUCCGCUCGUGAUGGGGAUUGACGGUUGCAAUUUUCUGUCAUGAACGAGGAAUACCUUGUAAGCGCGGGUCAUCAUCCCGCGCUGAGUACGUCCCUGCCCUUUGUACACACCGCCCGUCGCUCCUACCGAUUGAGUGGUCCGGUGAGGCUUUGGGAUCUGAGCGGAAAGAGCGUUUCGCUGUUUCUGCUCGGAAAACUCAGUCGAACCUUAUCAUUUAGAGGAAGGAGAAGUCGUAACA
rnacentral:rRNA from 1 species